AUACGUAGGGGGCGAGCGUUGUCCGGAGUGAUUGGGCGUAAAGGGCGCGUAGGCGGCCCGGUAAGUCUGGAGUGAAAGUCCUGUUUUUAAGAUGGGAAUUGCUUUGGAUACCGUCGGGCUUGAGUGCAGGAGAGGUAAGUGGAAUUCCCAGUGUAGCGGUGAAAUGCGUAGAGAUUGGGAGGAACACCAGUGGCGAAGGCGACUUACUGGACUGUAACUGACGCUGAGGCGCGAAAGUGUGGGGAGCAAACAGGAUUAGAUACCCUGGUAGUCCACACUGUAAACGAUGAAUGCUAGGUGUAGGGGGUAUCGACCCCUUCUGUGCCGCAGUCAACACAAUAAGCAUUCCGCCUGGGGAGUACGGCCGCAAGGUUGAAACUCAAAUGAAUUGGCGGGG
rnacentral:rRNA from 1 species